UACGUAGGGCGCAAGCGUAUCCGGAAUUAUUGGGCGUAAAGAGCUCGUAGGCGGUUUGUCGCGUCUGCCGUGAAAGUCCGGGGCUCAACUCCGGAUCUGCGGUGGGUACGGGCAGACUAGAGUGAUGUAGGGGGAGACUGGAAUUCCUGGGUGUAGCGGUGAAAUGCGCAGAUAUCAGGAGGAACACCGAUGGCGAAGGCAGGUCUCUGGGCAUUAACUGACGCUGAGGAGCGAAAGCAUGGGGGAGCGAACAGG
rnacentral:rRNA from 1 species